UCUUCAAUAAAUCCUGCCAAAUGUAAAUAAUUAUUAUAAAUGUAUGUUUAUUGUCCGAUAUAAUAAAUGAAAAUAAAUAAUUUUGUUAAAAUUCGUCCUACAGUGAUGAUAGUUGAUGUCCUAGUGAAUAACGGGGAAUUCAAAAAAUACUGUGGAAGACUUUAUUUCUAACAAACUCAAACCAAAGACUCAAAAAGCACUGACACAUUCCUGAUCAAUACUCUGAUAAAGUGAUUGAUCCAUUGAUAAACAGCAUCAUCAGAGUAAUCCAUAAGUCCCUGUUGGAGUCAGUCAGAGCAUUUCCAUAGAGAGACACUUUGCAUCAGCAGCACCAUCCUCCAGUGCUCUGGGAGAGUUUAUAGUCCUGAGAGUUGAACACUGGAUGACUGACAGCUGUCCUUCAUCACAACAGAAGACACAGAAAUCCUCCUCAUCAAAAACAUGACUUUGAUCUCCGUCCUCAUCUGGACUCUCCUCUGCUGCUGCUUCACAGAGUCCAGAGGACAGGUCACAGUGACUCAGCCUGGAGCAGUGAGCUCUGCUCUGGGAGGCUCCGUCUCCAUCUCCUGUAGGACCAGUCAGGAUGUUUAUGGCACUAACUAUUUAGCCUGGUACCAACAGAGAGAUGGAGAAACUCCUAAACUGCUCAUUUAUUAUACUAGCGCUCUACAAUCAGGGAUUCCAGGUCGUUUUACAGGCAGUGGAUCAAACUCUGCCUUCACUCUGACCAUCAGUGGAGUCCAGACUGAAGAUGCAGCAGUUUACUACUGUCAGAGUUUACACUAUAUCAACAGUCUGUAUGUGUUCACACAGUGAAAAAGCGUCGUACAAAAACCUCCCUCAGUCAGACUGAACAGAAACUGAACUGACUGCUGCAGCUGGAAGCUACUGCAGAGACUGAUACACUUCACUGAACACACACACACACACACACACACACACACACACACACACACACACACACACACACACACACACACACACACACACACACACACACACACACACACACACACACACACACACACACACACACACACACACACAGACAGACAUUCAUGUUUCCAUAACUUUUCGGGACAAUACUUUGACUUACAUUCAAGUUCUGGGAAUUACUUUAACCAUAAGCAUCAACCACCCAAAUCUUAACCAUUGUCCUAACGUUACCCCAAGUCUUCAACAUAAAAUGUAAUGUUUUACCUGAUGGACAAGGGCCUUUCGUCUUCAUAAGCAAGGCAAGACCCACAAUUAUCAGAUUUAUUUUCCCACAAGACCGGCAAAGCCCACACACACCAGGAGUUGGUUAAGUGUUCUAUACAGAUAGCUCACUGUAUCUGUGGAUCAAUGUUGAUGCAUAUAUAAUACAAAAAUAGUCAUAAAGAUGAAUUAGUAAUGAACAACUUGUUUCCCCACCACUCUCAGUAUUUUUUCAUUUAAACACCUGUCUCUUGAACAAAGAAGUCCUUGAGCAUCUCAGGUCUCUGUUAAUUCAUUCCAUCAGAAAAUCAGCCUGUAUACUGAUGACAUCCUAUUAGGUUCCACUAACUUUUAAUUUUACUUCAUAUCGUUUUUUCAUCUGAUCACAAGAUACAGCUGGUUUAUUUGGCGAUCCUUUGCCUUUUUCAAUGUGCAGGAAAUAUUUUGC